rnacentral:tRNA from 1 species
GGGCAUAGCUCAGUGGUAGAGCGCGAGCUUCCCAAGCUUGAGGUCGCGGGUUCGAACCCCGUUGCCC